rnacentral:tRNA from 1 species
UCCCUGGUGGCUCAGAUGCUAAAGAGUCUGCCUGCAAUGCAGGAGAUCCAGGUUUGAUUCCUGGGUUGGGAA